UACGUAGGGUGCGAGCGUUAAUCGGAAUUACUGGGCGUAAAGCGUGCGCAGGCGGUCCGCAAAGUCUGAUGUGAAAGCCCCGGGCUCAACCUGGGAACUGCAUUUGUGACUGCAUCGCUAGAGUACGGCAGAGGGGGAUGGAAUUCCGCGUGUAGCAGUGAAAUGCGUAGAUAUGCGGAGGAACACCGAUGGCGAAGGCAAUCCCCUGGGCCUGUACUGACGCUCAUGCACGAAAGCGUGGGGAGCAAACAGG
rnacentral:rRNA from 1 species